AUCAUCCAGCUUAUCGAUCUCGAUUUGAGUCAAACCAAUCCUUAGCGACAACAUAUUAAUGCUAGAGGAAGGGUCCUGACCCCCUCAUCAAAGAUUUUGCUUAAAUAACAAUCAUCAAACAAUAUAGAAUGAUAAAAGUAGUGCCAUCCGACACUCAACCCAAUACUCCUACAAAGUUCGACGGCUCUAUCCAGAGUCCUCAGAGAGUUCUACUUCUUUUAAAAGUGCAGAUAGCUCCAGUGAUUACCGCCAAGUAAUUCUAACUCCUCUUAUAGCAAGUUCAAGCAAUAACCACAAUGAUGCAAGGCCUGUAGUAGGUAGCUACACAACAUCAGUAGCAACAGUGGGAGACUCACAUGCGAGACAAUCAAGGAGCCCUAGAAUG
rnacentral:lncRNA from 1 species